UACGAAGGGGGCUAGCGUUGCUCGGAAUUACUGAGCGUAAAGGGCGCGUAGGCGGCACUGUUAGUCAGGCGUGAAAUUCCUGGGCUCAACCUGGGGACUGCGCUUGAUACGGCAGAGCUAGAGGAUGGAAGAGGCUCGCGGAAUUCCCAGUGUAGAGGUGAAAUUCGUAGAUAUUGGGAAGAACACCGGUGGCGAAGGCGGCGAGCUGGUCCAUUACUGACGCUGAGGCGCGACAGCGUGGGGAGCAAACAGG
rnacentral:rRNA from 1 species